UUAACUCAAAUUUGUAUGGAGUUAUAAAGUUUGCGUACGUUUGCUGCUAGGGGCGUUGUUCCAACUGCAUACAAAUUUGAGUUA
rnacentral:pre_miRNA from 1 species